rnacentral:tRNA from 1 species
UUAAUUGAAGCCAAAGAGAGGCCUAUUAUUGUUAAUAAUAAAAUUGAAAUAAUUUCCAAUUAAA